CACUAACUGGAGGACCGAACCGACUAAUGUUGAAAAAUUAGCGGAUGACUUGUGGCUGGGGGUGAAAGGCCAAUCAAACCGGGAGAUAGCUGGUUCUCCCCGAAAGCUAUUUAGGUAGCGCCUCGUGAAUUCAUCUCCGGGGGUAGAGCACUGUUUCGGCAAGGGGGUCAUCCCGACUUACCAACCCGAUGCAAACUGCGAAUACCGGAGAAUGUUAUCACGGGAGACACACGGCGGGUGCUAACGUCCGUCGUGAAGAGGGAAACAACCCAGACCGCCAGCUAAGGUCCCAAAGUCAUGGUUAAGUGGGAAACGAUGUGGGAAGGCCCAGACAGCCAGGAUGUUGGCUUAGAAGCAGCCAUCAUUUAAAGAAAGCGUAAUAGCUCACUGGUCGAGUCGGCCUGCGCGGAAGAUGUAACGGGGCUAAACCAUGCACCGAAGCUGCGGCAGCGACACUGUGUGUUGUUGGGUAGGGGAGCGUUCUGUAAGCCUGUGAAGGUGUGCUGUGAGGCAUGCUGGAGGUAUCAGAAGUGCGAAUGCUGACAUAAGUAACGAUAAAGCGGGUGAAAAGCCCGCUCGCCGGAAGACCAAGGGUUCCUGUCCAACGUUAAUCGGGGCAGGGUGAGUCGACCCCUAAGGCGAGGCCGAAAGGCGUAGUCGAUGGGAAACAGGUUAAUAUUCCUGUACUUGGUGUUACUGCGAAGGGGGGACGGAGAAGGCUAUGUUGGCCGGGCGACGGUUGUCCCGGUUUAAGCGUGUAGGCUGGUUUUCCAGGCAAAUCCGGAAAAUCAAGGCUGAGGCGUGAUGACGAGGCACUACGGUGCUGAAGCAACAAAUGCCCUGCUUCCAGGAAAAGCCUCUAAGCAUCAGGUAACAUCAAAUCGUACCCCAAACCGACACAGGUGGUCAGGUAGAGAAUACCAAGGCGCUUGAGAGAACUCGGGUGAAGGAACUAGGCAAAAUGGUGCCGUAACUUCGGGAGAAGGCACGCUGAUAUGUAGGUGAAGUCCCUCGCGGAUGGAGCUGAAAUCAGUCGAAGAUACCAGCUGGCUGCAACUGUUUAUUAAAAACACAGCACUGUGCAAACACGAAAGUGGACGUAUACGGUGUGACGCCUGCCCGGUGCCGGAAGGUUAAUUGAUGGGGUCAGCGCAAGCGAAGCUCUUGAUCGAAGCCCCGGUAAACGGCGGCCGUAACUAUAACGGUCCUAAGGUAGCGAAAUUCCUUGUCGGGUAAGUUCCGACCUGCACGAAUGGCGUAAUGAUGGCCAGGCUGUCUCCACCCGAGACUCAGUGAAAUUGAACUCGCUGUGAAGAUGCAGUGUACCCGCGGCAAGACGGAAAGACCCCGUGAACCUUUACUAUAGCUUGACACUGAACAUUGAGCCUUGAUGUGUAGGAUAGGUGGGAGGCUUUGAAGUGUGGACGCCAGUCUGCAUGGAGCCGACCUUGAAAUACCACCCUUUAAUGUUUGAUGUUCUAACGUGGACCCGUGAUCCGGGUUGCGGACAGUGUCUGGUGGGUAGUUUGACUGGGGCGGUCUCCUCCUAAAGAGUAACGGAGGAGCACGAAGGUUGGCUAAUCCUGGUCGGACAUCAGGAGGUUAGUGCAAUGGCAUAAGCCAGCUUGACUGCGAGCGUGACGGCGCGAGCAGGUGCGAAAGCAGGUCAUAGUGAUCCGGUGGUUCUGAAUGGAAGGGCCAUCGCUCAACGGAUAAAAGGUACUCCGGGGAUAACAGGCUGAUACCGCCCAAGAGUUCAUAUCGACGGCGGUGUUUGGCACCUCGAUGUCGGCUCAUCACAUCCUGGGGCUGAAGUAGGUCCCAAGGGUAUGGCUGUUCGCCAUUUAAAGUGGUACGCGAGCUGGGUUUAGAACGUCGUGAGACAGUUCGGUCCCUAUCUGCCGUGGGCGCUGGAGAACUGAGGGGGGCUGCUCCUAGUACGAGAGGACCGGAGUGGACGCAUCACUGGUGUUCGGGUUGUCAUGCCAAUGGCACUGCCCGGUAGCUAAAUGCGGAAGAGAUAAGUGCUGAAAGCAUCUAAGCACGAAACUUGCCCCGAGAUGAGUUCUCCCUGACCCUUUAAGGGUCCUGAAGGAACGUUGAAGACGACGACGUUGAUAGGCCGGGUGUGUAAGCGCAGCGAUGCGUUGAGCUAACCGGUACUAAUGAACCGUGAGGCUUAACCUUACAACGCCGAAGGUGUUU
rnacentral:rRNA from 1 species